rnacentral:rRNA from 1 species
UGCGGUUAAAAAGCUCGUAGUUGGACUUCUGUCCGAGGCAGCCGGUCCGCACCUGGUGCGUGUAUCAGGUUUGACUAGGGCAUCCUCUUGGGGAACGUUUCUGUGCUUCAUUGCAUGGGACGGAAUUCAAGACUUUUACUUUGAGGAAAUUAGAGUGUUCACGGCAAGCUAUCGCUUUGAAUACAUUAGCAUGGAAUAAUAAUAUAGGGCGUAAGUCUCAUUUUGUUGGUUUCUAGGACAUACGCAAUGAUUAAUAGGGACAAUUGGGGGCAUUCGUAUUAACGCGUCAGAGGUGGAAUUCUUAGAUUGCGUUACGACGAACUACUGCGAAAGCAUUUGCCAAGGAUGUUUUCAUUGAUCAAGAACGAAAGUAUGGGGAUCGAAGACGAUUAGAUACCGUCGUAGUCUAUACCAUAAACUAUGCCAAUUAGAGAUUGGAGGCCGUUCGUUUUAUGACUCCUUCAGCACCUUAUGAGAAAUCAAAAUUUUUGGGUUCCGUGGGGAGUAUGGUCGCAAGGCUGAAACUUAAAGGAAUUGACGGAAGGGCACCACCAGGAGUGGAGCCUGCGGCUUAAUUUGACUCAACACGGGAAAACUUACCAGGUCAGACAUAGUAAGGAUUGACAGAUUGAUAGCUCUUUCU